GGAGAGAUGCCAGAGCGGUCGAAUGGGCUUCCCUGCUAAGGAAGUGUGCCCUUACGGGUACCGAGGGUUCGAAUCCCUCUCUCUCCGCCA
rnacentral:tRNA from 1 species